UACGUAGGGUGCAAGCGUUAUCCGGAUUCACUGGGUUUAAAGGGAGCGUAGGUGGGCUGGCAAGUCAGUGGUGAAAUCUCCGGGCUUAACUCGGAAACUGCCGUUGAUACUAUCAGUCUUGAAUAUUGUGGAGGUAAGCGGAAUAUGUCAUGUAGCGGUGAAAUGCUUAGAUAUGACAUAGAACACAGAUAGCGAAGGCAGCUUGCUACACAAUUAUUGACACUGAGGCUCGAAAGCGUGGGGAUCAAACAGG
rnacentral:rRNA from 1 species